UACGGGGGGGGCAAGCGUUGUUCGGAAUUACUGGGCGUAAAGGGCUCGUAGGUGGCCAACUAAGUCAGACGUGAAAUCCCUCAGCUUAACUGGGGAACUGCGUCUGAUACUGGAUGGCUUGAGUUUGGGAGAGGGACGCGGAAUUCCAGGUGUAGCGGUGAAAUGCGUAGAUAUCUGGAGGAACACCGGUGGCGAAGGCGGCAUCCUGGACCAACACUGACGCUGAGUGAGCGAAAGCCAGGGGAGCAAACGGG
rnacentral:rRNA from 1 species